AGCAGCGUGGCUCAGUGGAAAGAGCCUGGGCUUCGGAGUCAAAGGCCAUGGGUUCGACUCCCAGCUCUGCCA
rnacentral:tRNA from 1 species